rnacentral:piRNA from 1 species
UCACUAUCCUAAAACAUGGCACACUCUGC